GAUGAGGUCUCCCACCGGGUUAACCGGGUAAGGCCCCCAGUAGACCACUGGGUUGAUAGGCCAGAAGUGGAAGCACCGCAAGGUGUGGAGCUGACUGGUACUAAUAGGCCGAGGGCUUGUCACACACCAACCAACGGUUGG
rnacentral:rRNA from 1 species